GAAUAUUGGACAAUGGGGGGAACCCUGAUCCAGCCAUGCCGCGUGUGUGAAGAAGGCCUUUUGGUUGUAAAGCACUUUAAGCGAGGAGGGGGCUACUUAGUUUAAUACUCUAGGAGAGGGCACGUUUCUCGCAGAAUAAGCAUCGGCUAACUUUGUCCCAGCCGCCGCGGUAAUACAGAGGGUGCAAGCGUUAAUCGGAUUUACUGGGCGUAAAGCGCGCGUAGGUGGCCAAUUAAGUCAAAUGUGAAAUCCCCGAGCUUAACUUGGGAAUUGCAUUCGAUACUGGUUGGCUAGAGUAUGGGAGAGGAUGGUAGAAUUCCAGGUGUAGCGGUGAAAUGCGUAGAGAUCUGGAGGAAUACCGAUGGCGAAGGCAGACAUCUGGCCUAAUACUGACACUGAGGUGCGAAAGCAUGGGGAGCAAACA
rnacentral:rRNA from 1 species